rnacentral:rRNA from 1 species
UACGGAGGAUGCAAGCGUUAUCCGGAAUGAUUGGGCGUAAAGCGUCCGCAGGUGGCUAUGUAAGUCUGCUGUUAAAGAGUGAGGCUCAACCUCAUAAGAGCAGUGGAAACUACAUAGCUAGAGUGCGUUCGGGGCAGAGGGAAUUCCUGGUGUAGCGGUGAAAUGCGUAGAUAUCAGGAAGAACACCGGUGGCGAAAGCGCUCUGCUAGGCCGCUACUGACACUGAGGGACGAAAGCUAGGGGAGCGAAUGGG